UUAUUUUAGAGUUUGAUCCUAGCUCAGGAUGAACGCUGGCUGUGUGGAUAAGGCAUGCAAGUCGAGUGGGUUUAGACCCACGGCGAACGAGGUAGUAACACGUAGGAAUCUCCCCCAAAGUCAAGCAUAACCCAUCGAAAGGUGGGAUAAUUCUUGAUAGUCCCGCAAGGGUAAAGAUUUAUCGCUUUGGGAAGAGCCUGCGAAGUAUCAGCUUGUUGGUAGGGUAAUGGCCUACCAAGGCAAUGACGCUUAGGGGAGGUGAGAGCCUGGCCCCCACCGAUGGCACUGAGACACGGGCCAUACUCCUACGGGAGGCCGCAGUCGAGAAUCUUCCGCAAUGGACGAAAGUCUGACGGAGCGACACAGCGUGAUCGAUGAAGCUCUUCGGAGUGUAAAGGUCUUUUAUGAGUGAAGAAGUUUAUUGACAUUAGCUCAUGAAUAAGGGGUUGCUAAACUCGUGCCAGCAGCAGCGGUAAUACGAGUGCCCCGAGCGUUAUCCGGAAUUAUUGGGCGUAAAGCGUGUGUAGGCGGUUUUGUUAGUCUUUUGUUAAAGCCCUGGGCUCAACCCAGGAUCUGCAAAAGAAACGGCAAAACUAGAGAGUGUGAGGGGUGAAUGGAACUCAUAGUGUAGGGGUGAAAUCCGUUGAUAUUAUGGGGAACACCAAAAGCGAAGGCAGUUCACUGGCACAUUUCUGACGCUGAGACACGAAAGCGUGGGUAGCGAAUGGGAUUAGAUACCCCAGUAGUCCACGCCGUAAACGAUGUUCUCUAGCUUUUUGGAGUAUCGACCCUCUGAGAGGCGCAGCUAACGCGUUAAGAGAACCGCCUGGGUAGUACGAGCGCAAGCUUAAAACUCAAAGGAAUAGACGGGGACUUGCACAAGCGGUGGAUCACGUGGUUUAAUUCGAUGAUACGCGAAGAACCUUACCAAGACUAGACAUCUAGCUUAUGUUUUUCUAGAAAUAGAAAAUCCUAACGGCUAGACAGGUGAUGCAUGGCCGUCGUCAGUUCGUGGCUUGAGCUGUUCCCUUAAGUGGGGAAACGAACGCAACCCUUAUCGUCUGUUACAAGUGUCAGGCGAGACUGCCCAGCCUAGUGCACAUGAAUGUGCAGUUUGUAGUUGGUAGUUAGUAGUUGAUAGUAAAAAAUUUGCAAAGCAAAUUUUUUCUCUAAAAACUAAAAACUAUAGACUAAAAACUGUAUUCACUUCGUGAAUACUAGGCUGGGAGGAAGGCGAGGAUGACGCCAGGUCAGCAUGUCCCUUGAUGUCUUGGGCUACACACAUGAUACAAUGGCUGUGACAAUAGGUCGCGACGGGGUAACCCUGAGCUAAUCCUUCAAACACAGCCCCAGUUCGGAUUGAGGUCUGCAACUCGACCUCAUGAAGUUGGAAUCGCUAGUAAUCGCUGGUCAGCACACAGCGGUGAAUAUGUUCUCAAGUCUUGUACUCACCGCCCGUCAACUCAAGGAAGUCGGGAGUGCCCGAUGGCCGUCUUUAUGACGGACUAAGGUAAGUUCGAUAACAGGGAGUAAGUCGUAACAAGGCACGGGUAGCGGAAGCUGUUCGUGGAUUAUUUCAAAU
rfam:Candidatus Campbellbacteria bacterium RIFOXYC2_FTLL_35_25 rifoxyc2_full_scaffold_143, whole genome shotgun sequence.